AACAUUUCUUUUAGAUUUUUUUAAAAGUAAAGUCUGCCCACUGUUUUAUAAUAAAGGGCCGCGGUAUUUUGACCGUGCAAAGGUAGCAUAAUCAUUAGUCUCUUAAUUGGGGAAUGGAAUGAAUGGCUUAAUGAUUUUUUUCUUUUAUUUAUAAUGUUUUUAAAAUUUUGAUUUUAAGUGAAAAUACUUAAAUUUUUUAGUAAGACGAUAAGACCCUAUAGAAUUUUAUUUCCUUUUUUAUUUAAAUAAAAUUAGAAGUUUGAAUGGGGCAUUUAUUGAAUACAGAUAAUUUCUAUAAAAUAUAUUAAAAAAUAUCUUUAUUUUUAGAUUUUUAAAAAAUUACCUUAGGGAUAACAGCGUAAUAAUUUUUGAGAGUUCAUAUCGACAAAAUAGUUUGCGACCUCGAUGUUGAAUUAAAAUGCCUUUAUAAAGCAGCUUUUAUAAAAGGUAGUCUGUUCGACUAUAAAAUUUUUACAUGAUUUGAGU
rnacentral:rRNA from 1 species